UAACCCCCACAACUUCCCCCAUUCUCUUCAUCUCCCUCAAAUUUCCAAACCAUAGCCGCCACCACACCCCCCACAACCCUCCACCGGCGGCCACCACCCCAACCACGCCCAAAUAUUUACCCCACAAUCCUCAAUACCUCCUCUAUCUUGAUCCACCUUCAGAUUUCCUUAAAAACUCCUAGAACUCGCCUAAUAAUAGAUCUAAAAAUGGGACGCACCCUAAUCCUUUUCUUUUGUUGACUUCUGCCGAUUUUGGAGUCGUAUAGAGAUAAAAUGCUCAGCAAUCGACUGGUCUUGUUUCGAACUACUGGUGGGUGUUAGUUUUGAGUUAUUUCACGGCCAUUGAAAUCUAGUUAGAUCCCUAUUUGUCCUUCUGGAUUUCCCCUUUCUCUGACCUUAGUAGUCAUCGGCGUAUGCACCACUGGUCGAGCUUUAAAGAACAAAGCCAGUGGACAUUCGUUGAUGACCAUUGUUGGUCGGAAAAUCUUUCACGGGCAGUCAUCUGCAUUCUUAAGGGGUAAGUUAUUUUCUCAUUUUUCUUGUCUGAAAUGGUUCAGUGAUUCAUUUAAUUUAGUUAAUUCUUGGUUUUGCAUUUAGUUAGUAAUCACUUGUUCGAAUGUUUGCAUGUUUAGGUUAGUUUUUGAUCAUUAAUAAAAUUGUUUGAAGUUAGUUUGUUGGCUGAAUUUGAAGUUAGAUAGUUUGUUGUUGUUUUAAAUCGCAUAUUUAUUUAAUUGACGGAUUUCAAUUAGUCAUUGCUUUAUGUUUAAUUUGUGUUUGAUAGCUUUGUUGUUAGUUUAGCUUAAUUAGAUGUUUGACUCUAUUAAAUGAAAGAGGGCAGUAGAUUUGGGAUAAAAGUACUACAGGGGUCAAAAGAAAUAGGAAUUUUAGGGAAUCAUUCUGUUAGUUGGUUGAGAUAUUUCUAGAACCUAGUUGUAGGGAUUAAAAAGCAAUAAGAUAAGUAAAUUAGCUCAAAAUUUGGGGUGGAAAGGGGUAAAAUCAGAAGUUAAGGAGCUGCAAAAAUGAGAAGAAGGGGCAGCUGUCCCAAUAUUAGUUAAGAAAAAUGCUAAAAACAUUUGAAAAAGGGACAGCUGUACAAAAUUGAUUAAAAAAAGAUGAUGUGGUUUCCUUUUUUCACGCUGACAGAUUCUUUUUUAGACUCUCUCUCAUUCUCUCUUAUAGCAUACACACUGCCUAUAUAAUAUGGCCCAUUCUGCAUUCUGAAGAUUAGAGACUGAUUUUUACACGAAAGCUUUCUAAAAUUCAGAUCCCUUUCUUCAUUGCAACACUGAUUUUUCCUUUUCUUAAAUUUCAAUUUAGAAAUAGAAAACAAAAAAAAAAGGAAAUUCAAAGUUGCUUUUUCCUUCCAUCUUUAUACUAAUUUUAUUCGAAUCCUGCUGAUAUAUUGAGUGGCUGCUGAUUCUGUUGUUGUUGAGUUGCUGAGAUCCAUCUCCAGUUUUCAGAUUAUUGUCAAGUUGUUUUCUGCUGCUGCAUUGGUUUCUUGUUGUUGCUCUUUCCAGUUUUUCAGAGAUCUAUUUUCUUUUAUUGUCUAUUCUGUUUAUAAAGGUACACAUCUAUGAACUCACAUAUUCUGAAUUUGACAUAAUCAAGCUUCUCUGCAUUCUUCUGUGAUUUUCAAACGUUUAUAGUGUUCAUAUGAUAUUGUGUUUUAGAUUUCUUGUGAAAUGUUCAAAGAAUGUUGAAUUGAAGUUAGAUAACUCUGCCAUGUUACUGUUGUUUAUAAGCUCCUUAUAGGCAUGUGCUGUUUUGCUUAUAUAUAAGUUUUUUGUCUUUCACGCUCGAAUUUCAAUCUGAGUUUAUUCUUAAUGCUUGUGUUGUAUAAUGUUUGGUAGUAAGUUGUGGAAGGGAAGAACCAUCAGUGGAAUGAACAUGGCUGCGGUUCAUGAUUUUGGCUACUAAUUGGUCAAAUUUGGGAAUCGCAAAGUCAAGAGCUAGAGCAGCGGAAGUGUUCGAAGUCUUUGUAAAUCGUCUCACCCAGUCGGAAGUAUGAAUGCCUGUAACCGUUCACCUAAUGUCAAAGGGAAAUGUGUUUCAUCAUUAGUUAAUUGAGUAGGAUUGUAAUAAAUACUGAAAAUUCUCUAUGUUCUUUGUUAAUCGCCUAUUCCCAUUUGUAUGUAAUAUAUUCUAGAAUUAUUGGAGUAUGAGUAGAAGUUUUGGGUUAAAGUAUUCAUGUUGCAGCAAGUAAUAAUAAGCUAUGUGUGUAAACUUUAAUUUUGAUUUAGCUUUGCAAGUUCAUUUGGGAGCCAGUUUUUUUUUUUAAUGCAUGAUGUUUCUUUCUUUCCAAAGUUGUUAUUUUAAGUACCUGAAUAAGUUGGUCCAAACAUGCAAAAAGGCCCAAUAUGGGCCUAAGCAAGCAAGUUUGAAUACUUCAGGUCAUUAGACCUUGGAGUUUGGCCCGAUAAAGGUUUAUUUUGAUUUCAAAAUCGAAAUAUUGUAAUAGAAAAUGAUUUGUCUUAUCUCAUUGAAUAAACUUUGAGCAAUUUUAGCCUAUAGCAUCAGUAAUGGAUUCUUAAACGUGAUUUUGAAACUUAGAGCAAUUA
rnacentral:lncRNA from 1 species